UGGGGAAUAUUGGACAAUGGGCGCAAGCCUGAUCCAGCCAUGCCGCGUGUGUGAUGAAGGCCUUAGGGUUGUAAAGCACUUUCACCGAUGAAGAUAAUGACGGCAGUCGGAGAAGAAGCACCGGCUAACUUCGUGCCAGCAGCCGCGGUAAUACGAAGGGGGCUAGCGUUGGUCGGAAUUACUGGGCGUAAAGCGCACGUAGGCGGAUUGGUCAGUUAGGGGUGAAAUCCCAGGGCUCAACCCUGGAACUGCCUUUAAUACUGCCAGUCUUGAGUUCGAGAGAGGUGAGUGGAAUUCCGAGUGUAGAGGUGAAAUUCGUAGAUAUUCGGAGGAACACCAGUGGCGAAGGCGGCUCACUGGCUCGAUACUGACGCUGAGGUGCGAAAGCGUGGGGAGCAAACAGG
rnacentral:rRNA from 2 species